rnacentral:tRNA from 1 species
GGACAGGUGGCCGAGUGGCUGAAGGCGCUCCCCUGCUAAGGGAGUAGGCGGUGUCCCCGUCUCGUGGGUUCGAAUCCCAUCCUGUCCGCCA